GGGCCCGGCUGUCCCGCUUGGGCGUCCUCAGUGGAACCGCACACCCUUUCUCAGCGCGCCGGUCGUUUGGUCCUGUAGGGCCGAGGGGAAUUCGUGCGGUGUUGAGCACGCGGGAAGCACUUAACGAAAGGGAGCUGCCCCUCAGCCCUCGUGAGUCCGAUGUAAAGGAGUGAAGGAGACGAAGAACUGAAUCAGUAGUUGACCGCCUGUGAGCUGGCGAGCUGUGCCCUGGUAGGGCCUUAAAUCCCAGCCCCAGAAGUCGGAGGCAGGGCAGGCACCCCAAAGCGUGGAAGAGAUGCACCUGCGGAGUGAAAAUGCUGCUAUUGCUUCUAGGGUCAGCCUUGGUUCCUGGAACAAAGGAGCCGCAUGACUCGGGUCUGGCGAUGAUGUUGGGCUCUGCAGUGUCCUCAUCCUUCCCCCUCUCUGGGUAAUGAUAUCUUCCCAGGGUUUAAAGUGUGUCCUCUCUGCCAGUAGCUUGUCUCCACAGCCUCAUCUUUAAUUCCACCUGCCCCACCCAUUUUGGACACUGCAGCCAAGUUGCAGCAGAUCCGCAAACCUGGUAAUCCCUCACUUGAAAGUGCUGGAGGCUUUAGGAUGGGGUUCAGGGCCUGUGCAAUCUAACCGCCUGCUUUUUUUUUUUUUUUUUUUUUUUUUUUUUUGAGACGGAGUCGAAUCUCACUGUCUCCCAGGCUGGAGUGCAGUGGCGCCAUCACAGCUCAUUGCAGCCUCAACCUCCUGAGCUCAAGCCAUCCUCCCACCUCAGCCUCCCAAGUACCUGGGGUUACAGGCAAGCACCAUUACGCCUAGCUAAUUUUUCUGGGUUUUUUUUUUUUGUUUUUUUUUUUGUAUAGAUGGAUUUCGCCAUGUUGUCCAGGCUGGUCUUAAACUCUCGCUCUGUCUCCCAGGCUAGAGUGCAGUGGGGCAAUCUCGGCUCCCUGCAACCUCUGCCUCCUGGGUUCAAGCAAUUAUCCUGCCUCAGCCUACCAGUUAGCUGGGAUUACAUGUGUGCGCCACCGCGCCCGGCUAAUUUUUUUAUUUUUAGUAGAGGCGGGGUUUCACCAUGUUGACCAGGCUGGUCUCAAGACUACUGACCUCAAGUGAUCCCCCCCCCCCCCCGCCUCGGCCUCCCAAAGUGCUGGGAUUACAGACGUGAGCCACCGUGCCCAGCGGUUUUGCAUUUUCAAUUGUGGGGCACGGUGAGAAAAGACUUGAAGAAAGCAAGGGAGUGAGAUCCAUGGAAAUGUAGGGGGGAACCUUGCAGGCCUAUGGAACAGCCAGUGCAAAGGGCCUGGGGUGGGAGCUGCCUCAGGGUAGCCAGGAUGGCAGGAGGCACAGCUGCCGAGAGGAAGCAGGGGCCAGGUCCUGCAAGGUUAGAGGCCAUUGCUACUCCUGAACACAUUGGCAGGUUUUGAGCAGAGAAGUGACAUGAUUUUAGUUUUCUCAGGAUCCCUCUGGCUGCUGUGUGGAGGAAGAGGGGAGGGUGAGAGCAGGGAUACCUCUUAGGAGGCUGUGGUAGUAAUCCCAGGGAGCCAGGAUGGGAGCAGAGGAGGGGACAGGAAUUGGAUUCUGGAUGCAUUUUGGAGGGAGCAUGAAGGAAAGCGGGGUCAAAGGUUCCUCUGAGGCCUUGGCUGCCUCUCUUAUUCAUCUACAUCCAUUCUGUCAAGGACACCUUUCAUUUCUUCUUGGCACUGUCUCAAGGCCACCACGCUGCUGCCCACCUGACCAGCAGUGGCCUUUCCAGGCCUUCCAUCUUCUCCCCAGCAGCUUAUCUCUGCGUAGCCAGGUCCCAUUUCCCACACACCUUUUUUUAAAGUGUGUUGCACUGCUCUGGGUGCAGGACUGUAGCAGUGACCAGGGCAGCUCCAGAUGAAGCUUCUGCUCACAGGAACCUUUUCUACUGAAACAGAUGAUACCUAAACUCUCAGCUGUGUGACUUUAAGCAACUUGCACAACCUCUCUGUACUUCAGUUGCCUCCAUCUUCAAAUGGGGAUUAAAAAGUGUUGACAUCAUAGUGGUUGUGAGGAUUACAUGAUUUGAUAGUUUAUAAAGCACUUAGAACUUGUGAAGAAGAGUGCCUGGGGAUUGCCUAAGGUCAGGAGUUCAAGACCAGCCUGGCCAACAUGGAGAAACCUCAUCUCUGCUAAAAAUACAAAAACUAACCACGCAUGGUAGUGCACACCUCUAGUCCCAGCUACUUGGGGGGCUGAGGCAGGAGAAUCACUUGAACCUGGGAGGUGGAGAUUGCAGUGAGCCAAGAUUGCGCCACUGCACUCCAGCCUGGGCAACAGAGCAAGACUCGGUCUCCAAAGAAAAAAAAAGAACUGCCUGGCUACGGAAUAAGAACUACAUGGAGUUAUUAAAUCAAAAUCGGUGCACAAAUGAUAAUUCUUAAGAGUGAGUGCUACAGAGAACACAAAAGGCAAGGCACAGAGAGAUGACCUGGGAGGCAGGGAAGGAAAGCAUUCCCAGAGAGUCUCUUUCUGUCACCCGGUCUGGAGUGAAGUGGCGCAGUCUCAGCUCUCUGCAACCUCUGCCUCCCAGGUUCAAGCAAUUCUUCUGCCUCAGCCUCCCAAGUAGCUGGGAUUACAGGUAUGUGCCACCAUGCCUGGCUAAUUUUUGUAUUUUUAGUAGAGAUGCGUUAUUUCCAUGUUGGCCAGGCUGGUCUCGAACUACUGACCUCAGGUGAUCCACUCGCCUCGGCCUCCCAAAGUGCUGAGAUUAUAGGCAUGAGCCACUGCGCCCGGCCGAGGCAAUGGUUUUCAGCUAGGGUGUCCCCAGCUGUCAUUUGGCAAUGUCUGGAGACAUUUGGGUUGUCAUAACUGAGUGUGUGUGUGUGUUUGUGUGCACAUGCUGUAGUGGCCAAGGAUGCUGCUAAACACCCUACAAGGCACAGAAUAGCCAUCACAAUUAUUUGGCUCCAAAUGUCAAUAGAGCUGAGGGAGAGAAAUAUUAAUAUAAACACAGCAGUUCCUGCACACCGAGGUUGAGGCUCAAGGGUGAAACCUGCCUGCUACAUGGCAAGCAGAUUGCAACUGACCACAGCACAUAAUAUGACACCCAAUGGCAAGAGAACGAUGUCAAGGGUCACUGAGAGAGAUGAAAGAUGGUGCAUAUUCAUUGACACCCCUCUCAUUGCAAAGUGGGAGGUCUGUGUCCCCUCCCCUUGAAUUCCAUGGAGUUGGGACUACUCUGACCAAUAGAAUACAACAGAAAUAACAUCUUGCAGUUUCCAAGCCUUAUAAAACUGGCAGCUUCCACUUCUUGUUUCUUGGGACACACUGCCUUGGAGCCUGUGCUGCCACUGAAGAAGUCUGAGUGCCCUGAGGCCACCAUGGUGUGGGGAAGCCCACGCUAGCCUUGUGGCAAGCCAACUGUUCCGCAACAUAGUGCGGGCUCCAGGUAACAUGAAGGAAGCUGUCUUGGGCCCUCUAGCCCAGCCCAGUCUCCAGCGAAUCCCACUGAGUGACCCUAGUCAAGCCCACAUGGAGCAGAAGAAUCACCUAGCUGAGCCCUGACCCACAAAAUCUUGAGAAGGAAUUAAAUUGCUAUUGUUCCCAGCCAGAAAAGCAAGGUAGCUUAAGGUAGUUUGUUCCACAGCAGUAGGUAACUAGAACAGUCAUGUCCAAGGAUUUGUUCCUGCACUUUCCCCUUCGCCACGUAUGGCAGAAAUUCUCAGGAAUUCUCAUGAGCCAGUGUCAUGCUAGUGCUUGUUGCAUCUGCUCCUCUCCAGCCGCCCCAGCCCACUGAUCCAAGCACUCUGUGAAAUGACUUUUGUGUGUCGACUUCUUCCCACGAGGAAGACGUUUCUUUCAUUGCCAUGUGCUGGACCCCAGUGCAGAGCCCGGGGCAUUGUCAGUGCUUAGUGUUUGUUGAAUGAGCCAAUGGAACUGGUCACCCUCCGCUGCCCUGGGGGUCCCUCAGCCUUUCCCAGAAGGUCCCUUGGACCUUCCCUCUGGGCUUCCUCACUCCCUUUUCUGCUUAUUCUUUUCUGAGCCGAAUUGUUGUAGCCCCUCAGAUCCAAAUGGCCCAACCCCACUGUCUCCUUCCCAGCACCUCUGUUGAGAAAUACCAAGUGGUAGAGAGUGUGCCUGUGUGGACGUGGGUGGGAUACGUGCCUCUUCUACACCGCCCGUAGGAAGGUACGCUUAGCAAUAGCUAUUGAAAACACAAAAGUGAUUCUGCUCUUAGGAAUGUCUCCCGCAGGGACCCUACCCUGGUGGCACAGGACGUCUCACACAGCACUGUCUGGGACAGCAAAAGGGAUGGAAACCACCUGAGUCCAACUAUGGAGGACACUGGAAAACACGAUGCUGCCUCCAUAGGAUGGGAUAUUGUUCUGGAGGCUGCAAGCCCAGGUUCAAGGCAUCAGCAGGUGUGGUUUCCUCCGAGGCCUCUCCCCGUGGCUUGCAGAUGGCUGCCUUCUUCCUGCAUCCUCACGUGGUCCCUCCUCUGCACUCCAGCAUCCUUAAUGUCUCUUUGUGUGUCCAACUUUCCGCCCCCCCCCACCCCUUUUUUUUCUGAUGGAGUCCACCCAGACUGGAGUACAGUGGCGUGAUCUCAGCUCACUGCAACCUCCACUUCCUGGGCUCAAGUGAUUCCCCCGCUUCAGCCUCCCGAGUAGCUGGGAUUACAGGCAUGUGCCACCAUGCCUGGCUAAUUUUUGUAUUUUUAAUAGAGAUGGGAUUUCACCAUAUUGGCCAGGCUGGUCUCAAACUCCUGACCUCAAGUGAUCCACCCAUCUCGGCCUCCCAAAGUGUUGAGAUUACAGGUGUGAGCCACUGCGCCCAGCCCCGAACUUUCCUCUUAAAAGGAUAUCAGUCAGGCCAGGCGCAGUGGCUCAUACCUGUAAUCCCUGCACUUUGGGAGGUUGAGGCGGGUGGAUUACUUGAGGUCAGGAGUUGGAGACCAGCCUGGCCAACAUGGUGAAAUCCCGUGUCUACUAAAAAUACAAAAAUUAGCCGGGCGUGGUGGCAGGCGCCUGUAGUCCCAGCCACUCGGGAGGCUGAGGCAGGAGAAUUGCUUGAACCUGGGAGGCAGAGGUUGCAGUCAGCUGAGAUCAUGCUACUGCACUCCAGUCUGGGCAACAGAGCAAGACUCUAUCUCAAAAAAAAAAAAGACACCAGUCAGACUGGAGUAGGGCUCACCCUAAUGGCCUGAUUUUAACUUAAUUACCUCUUUUUUUUUCUUUCUUUUUUUGAGACAGAGUCUCGCUCUGUCACCCAGGCUUGAGUGCAGUGGCGCGAUCUCAGCUCACUGCAACCUCUGUCUCCCGGGUUCAAGUGAUUCUCCAGCCUUAGCCUCCCAAGUAGCUGGAAUUACAGGCGUGUACCACCACACCAAGCUAAUUUUUGUAUUUUUUAGUAGAGACAGGGUUUCUUCAUGUUGGUCAGGCUGGUCUCAAACUCCUGACCUCAGGUGAUACACCUGCCUCGGCCUCCCAAAGUGAUGGGAUUAUAGGUGUGAGCCACUGCACCCAGCCUUAAUUACCCCUUUAAAGGCCCUAUAUGCAAAUACAGUCACAUUCUGAGCUACUGGGGGUUAGGGCUUCAACAUAGGAAUUCAGGCAGACAUGAUUCAGCCCAUAACAAGGGCUUUCACUUUUUUUUUUUUUGUAGAAACAGGGUCUCACUAUGUUGCCCAGGCUACUCUUGAACUCCUGGGUUCAAGUGAUUCUCCAGCCUCAGCCCCCAGAUUAGCUGGGGCUACAGGUGCACCAGCACGCCCAGCUAAUAUUUUUACUUUCAUUUUUUUUAGACGGAGUUUAGCUAUCUUUGCCCAGGCUAGAGUGCAAUAGCGUGAUCUUGGCUCACCACAACCUCUGCCUUCCGGGUUCAAGAAUUCUCCUGCCUCAGCCUCCCAAGUAGCUGGGAUUACAGGCAUGCACCACCAUGACCGGCUAAUUUUGUAUUUUUAGUAGAGACGGGGUUUCUCCAUGUUGGUCAGGCUGCUCUCGAACUCCCGACCUCAGAUGGUCUGCCCGCCUCAGCUUCCCAAGGUGCUGGGAUUACAGGCGUGAGCCACCGCGCCCGGCCAAUAUUUUUUGUGGAGUCAGGGUCCUACUAUGUUUCCCAGGCUGGUCUUGAACUUCCAGGCUCAAGCGAUCCUCCUGCCUUGGCCUCCUAAAGUACUGUGAUUCCAGGCCUGAGCCACAGCACCCUGCUGGCUUUCACUUUUUACUUUAUUUCUAUGUUGUUAAAAUCUAUUACAAUAAACAUUACUUUUAAAGGAUUUUGUGCACUUCAAUCCAAAUGUCCCUGAAGCAUCUACCUCCCUCCUGGGCCUUCUCUGAAGUCAGAGUAGGGGCAGCUGAAGCCCUCCCUCUGCUGGCUCCAGGAACGAAACCCCCUGGCCCACUAAGGCCCUUCCCCUGGGGAGGGUGGCGUGGGAUAAGAACACUCAGUAUCUGUCUGGCCCUCUCAAGAUCACUGAGGACUUUCCCAGACAGCCGACAUGGUCUUCAGAUCAGUCUGCCAAACGUCACAUAGAGGCUGGGCACGGUGGCUCACGUCUGUAAUCCCAGCACUUUGGGAGGGCAACGUGGGUGGAUCACCUGAAGUCAGGAGUUCGAGACCAGGCUGGCCGACAUUGCAAAACCUCGUCUCUACAAAAAUAUAAAAGUUAGCUGGGCGUGGUGGCACGCGCCUGUAGUCCCAGCUACUCGGGAGGCUGAGGCAGGAGAAUCACUUGAACCUGGGAGGCGGAGGUUGCAGUGGACCAGGAUCGUACCACUGCACUCCAGCCUGGCCAACAGAGUAAGACUCCAUCUCAAAAAAAAAAAAAAAAUCAGGUGGAGGGGCAUCCUCUGUUUUCCAGGCUCCUGGUUUAUAGCUGCAAGCUCUGGACAUUUAAUACCUUGUAAUCCAUCCUUCCCUUAUAUACCUCUCAACAUAAUGACUGUACAAUAUGGCCAAUGAAACGGAUAGUAAAAUGAAACAUAGGCAAGUAAUAAAGUGAGAUAUGAAGACAGUAGUACAACCUGGAUGAGGGUGGAAUGCAAAAUUGUCAUCAGAGAAGACGACAGGAGGACCUGAGAGCUGGAGGGACGGACGCUUAUCUACCCAAAUGAGGCUAUAAAAAGUAGAAAGAUGGCAGGGUAAAAAUGGGGGAGGGCUGCCACUUAAGACUCUCAGGAAACAGUGAUGCAUCAGACUUUAUCAUUAAGUCCCAGGGGAGAGGAGUGGAUCUGGGGAUCCCUUUAGAUAUGGUAGAAUUCUCCUGGGUCCUGCUCUGGUCUUAAAUCUCAGACCAGUAGCAGGAAAACCCUAACUGUACUGUGGUCCUGAAUGUCACUGCAACUUCAGCCCUGCUGUGGUGGUGUAUCUGCUCCUCUGGCUGGCUCUGCCACCUUGAAAGGUGAGACCAUGUGGAGCAGAGCCAAGGGGCCUCAGCUGACAGCCAGCACCAACCAUCAGUCAUGUGAGUGAGACCACCUUGGACCCCCAACCCCAGUUGGGUUGUCAGAUGACUAUAGCUGCAGGUACAAGAGUGACCCAGUGACACCAGCAGAUGAACCGGCUAGCUUAGCUCAGCCCAAACUGCUGACUUAGAACUGUUGUUAUGUUAAGCCAGUACAUUUUCAGUGACUCAUUACAAAGCAGUAGAUAACUGUGACAGUCUAAGAGGAUCUAAGUUUGGAAACAGGAUUGAAUAUUUAAGAUAACUGAUUUGCCAGAUUUAUAAGUUUAUUAGUAUAUAAGAGUUGCUUGGCUGGGCACAGUGGCUCAUGCCUGUAACCCUAACACCUUGGAAGGCUGAAGCAGGAAGAUUGCUUGAGCCCAGGAGUUUGAGACCAGCCUUGGCAACACAGUGAGACCCAAUCUCUUAAAAAAAAAAAAAAAAAAAAAAACUCCGUCUCCCUCUCGCUCUCCGUCUCCCUCUCGCUCUCCCUCUCCCCACGGUCUCCCUCUCAUGCGGAGCCGAAGCUGGACUGUACUGCUGCCAUCUCGGCUCACUGCAUCCUCCCUGCCUGAUUCUCCUGCCUCAGUCUGCCGAGUGCCUGCGAUUGCAGGCACGCGCCGCCACGCCUGACUGGUUUUGGUGGAGACAGGGUUUCGCUGUGUUGGCCGGGCCGGUCUCCAGCCCCUAACCGCGAGUGAUCCGCCAACCUCGGCCUCCCGAG
rnacentral:lncRNA from 10 species